rnacentral:rRNA from 1 species
AUUGAACGCUGGCGGCAUGCUUUACACAUGCAAGUCGAACGGUAACAGGUUAAGCUGACGAGUGGCGAACGGGUGAGUAAUGCAUCGGAACGUGCCCGGUCGUGGGGGAUAACGCAGCGAAAGCUGCGCUAAUACCGCAUACGAUCUGAGGAUGAAAGCGGGGGACCGUAAGGCCUCGCGCGAUCGGAGCGGCCGAUGUCAGAUUAGGUAGUUGGUGGGGUAAAGGCCCACCAAGCCGACGAUCUGUAGCUGGUCUGAGAGGACGACCAGCCACACUGGGACUGAGACACGGCCCAGACUCCUACGGGAGGCAGCAGUGGGGAAUUUUGGACAAUGGGCGCAAGCCUGAUCCAGCAAUGCCGCGUGCAGGAAGAAGGCCUUCGGGUUGUAAACUGCUUUUGUACGGAGCGAAAAGGCUCUCUCUAAUACAGGGGGCUCAUGACGGUACCGUAAGAAUAAGCACCGGCCAACUACGUGCCAGCCGCCGCCGUAA